CCUCAGGGAGUGUAGCAGCACCUUGGAAGUCUACGGUGCUUCCCUUCCCCGGAAUUGUGUGUUCUUUAGAAGAAGAUUUGCUGAAAAAGCCCAGAAGAGACUCUGGUGGUCAGUCCGAGCCUGAAGCAGCACGCCGUUUCAUUGUGAGUCUCGUAAAAGAGGAUAGUGAUCCUUAAGAUAGGCUCCAUGAUGUUUCAUUGGCUGUAAACACCAGAAGACAAAAGUUCUUAAAAAGGCAACUGAUUCGAAGGAAAAGAGUGGCAUACCAUCUGAGUGAGCAGUUAGCAGACAGAAGCACACUGACAAAAGUAGAAUGUGAAAAUCUUGUUAUCUCGAGACAAGUAGACUUGAGUGGAAAUAAGCAUCAAGCAAAAAACGACACACGGACA